rnacentral:tRNA from 1 species
UCCCCUGUAGCUCAAUUGGCAGAGCGUUCGGCUGUUAACCGAAGGGUUCCUGGUUCGAGUCCAGGCGGGGGAGC